rnacentral:rRNA from 1 species
AGUGAACGCUGGCGGUAGGCCUAACACAUGCAAGUCGAACGGCAGCACAGUAAGAGCUUGCUCUUACGGGUGGCGAGUGGCGGACGGGUGAGGAAUACCUCGGAAUCUACUUUUUCGUGGGGGAUAACGUAGGGAAACUUACGCUAAUACCGCAUACGACCUACGGGUGAAAGCAGGGGAUCUUCGGACCUUGCGCGAUUGAAUGAGCCGAUGUCGGAUUAGCUAGUUGGCGGGGUAAAGGCCCACCAAGGCGACGAUCCGUAGCUGGUCUGAGAGGAUGAUCAGCCACACUGGAACUGAGACAAGGUCCAGACUCCUACGGGAGGCAGCAGUGGGGAAUAUUGGACAAUGGGCGCAAGCCUGAUCCAGCCAUACCGCGUGGGUGAAGAAGGCCUUCGGGUUGUAAAGCCCUUUUGUUGGGAAAGAAAAGCAGCAGGUUAAUACCCCGCUGUUCUGACGGUACCAAAAGAAUAAGCACCGGCUAACUUCGUG